UGCAUAUCAAUAAGCGGAGGAAAAGAAACCAACAGGGAUUGCCCUAGUAACGGCGAGUGAAGCGGCAAGAGCUCAAAUUUGAAAUCUGGCUCCUCCGGGGUCCGAGUUGUAAUUUGCAGAGGAUGCUUCGGGUGCGGUCCCCGUCUAAGUACCCUGGAAUGGGUCGUCAUAGAGGGUGAGAAUCCCGUCUGGGACGGGUGGCCGUGUCCGUGUGAAGCUCCUUCGACGAGUCGAGUUGUUUGGGAAUGCAGCUCUAAAUGGGUGGUAAAUUUCAUCUAAAGCUAAAUAUUGGCCGGAGACCGAUAGCGCACAAGUAGAGUGAUCGAAAGAUGAAAAGCACUUUGAAAAGAGAGUUAAACAGCACGUGAAAUUGUUGAAAGGGAAGCGCUUGCGACCAGACUCGCCCGCGGGGGUUCAGCCGGUACUCGUACCGGUGUACUCCCCCGUGGGCGGGCCAGCGUCGGUUUGGGCGGCCGGUCAAAGGCCUCCGGAAUGUAUCGCCCUUCGGGGCGUCUUAUAGCCGGGGGUGCAAUGCGGCCAGCCUGGACCGAGGAACGCGCUUCGGCUCGGACGCUGGCGUAAUGGUCGUAAGCGGCCCGU
rnacentral:rRNA from 2 species